GGAUUGUGGCUCAGCGGUAGAGCGCUCGCCUAGCAUGUGCAAGACCCUGGGUUCGUUCCUCAGCACCA
rnacentral:tRNA from 1 species